rnacentral:lncRNA from 1 species
GCGGCCCUGGCGAUGUGGAUAGGAGGGUGCUCCCUCUGCUGUUUCCUGAAGUCCACGAUCAGCUCCAUUGUUUUGUUGACGUUGAGCGAGAGGUUGUUUUCCUGACACCACAUUCCCAGGGCCCUCACCUCCUCCCUGUAGGCUGUCUCGCCAUUGUUGGUAAUCAGGCCUGAUUGAGUUGGAGGGUGCAUGGUCAUGCAGUCAUGGGUGAACAGGGAGUACAGGAGGGGCCGAGCUAGUACCCUUGUGGGGCCGCUGUGUUGAGGAUCAGCGAAGUGGAGGUGUUGUUUCCUUCCUUCGCCACCUGGGGGUGGGCCGUCAGGAAGUCCAGGACCCAGUUGGACAGGGCUGGGUUCAGACCCAGGGCCCCAAGAUUAAUGAUGAGCUUGGAGGGUACUAUGGUGUUGAAUGCUGAGCUGUAGUCAAUGAACAGCAUUCUUACAUAGUUUUUCCUCUUGUCCAGAUGGGAUAGGGCAGUGUGCAGUGCGAUGGCGAUAACAUGGUCCGUGGAUCUAUUGGGGCGGUAAGCAAAUUAAAGUGGGUCUAGGGUGUCAGGUAAGGUAGAGGUGAUAUGAUCCUUAACUAGCCCCUCAAAGCACUUCAUGAUGACAGAAGUGAGGGCUAUUUGGCGAUAGUCAUUUAGUUCAGGAACAAUGGAGAACAUCUUGAAGCAAGUAGGGACAGCAGACUGGGUUGUAGUUCAGACUGGGAGAGGUGGAGCACCCUUCAGAGAGACAGGAGAGGAGUGGUGUUUUGGUUCCUUAACUCCACCAGGAGGAGUGGUGGAGCGCCCUUCAGAGAGACAGGAGAGGAGUGGUGUUUUGGUUCCUUUACUCCACCAGGAGGAAAGGUGGAGCGCCCUUCAGAGAGACAGGAGAGGAGUGGUGUUUUGGUUCCUUAACUCCACCAGGAGGAGUGGUGGAGCACCCUUCAGAGAGACAGGAGAGGAGUGGUGUUUUGGUUCCUUUACUCCACCAGGAGGAGAGGUGGAGCGCCCUUCAGAGAGACAGGAGAGGAGUGGUGUUUUGGUUCCUUUACUCCACCCUUCAGAGAGACAGGAGAGGAGUGGUGUUUUGGUUCCUUAACUCCACCAGGAGGAGUGGUGGAGCACCCUUCAGAGAGACAGGAGAGGAGUGGUGUUUUGGUUCCUUUACUCCACCCUUCAGAGAGACAGGAGAGGAGUGGUGUUUUGGUUCCUUAACUCCACCAGGAGGAGUGGUGGAGCACCCUUCAGAGAGACAGGAGAGGAGUGGUGUUUUGGUUCCUUUACUCCACCCUUCAGAGAGACAGGAGAGGAGUGGUGUUUUGGUUCCUUUACUCCACCAGGAGGAGAGGUGGAGCGCCCAUCAGAGAGAUAGGAGAGGAGUGGUGUUUUGGUUCCUUAACUCCACUAGGAGGAGUGGUGCAGACUGCAGGCUGCUGGCUGUGUUCCUU